GACAUUGCAAUUCUAAUUAAGAGUUGAAAUUCAAUUUUCACUGUACAAUAAGUAUAUUUUAAGUUUUUUUUCGAACAAUAUCAUUUGAAUAUUCACGUAAAUUUUAGCACUUUAGAAUUAUAGUUAAUAAAUUUUUGUUUAUUACCAAUACAAUAUAUAUACACACGCGCUUCGAGCUUUACAAAAAAACAAAAAAGUUUUAGGAUUUGCUUUCUUUCAUCCUUAAGUAUGGAAAAUUGAGGUGGUGUUCAACAACGAUUUGGAAGGUGAAGAUGGAGUGCAUCGAGGUGGUGUCCAGCCUCUAUUUGUAAGAAGGUGCAUGGAUUAUUAGAAUUUUUUUAUAAUUUGAGGUUUUUUUGGUGUUAAGUAGAGUUUAAUCUUUUGGUCAAGGUGAAGUACAAUGAAGAUGACACCAUUGGUGACUUGAAGAAGCUGGUUGCUGCACAGACUAGAACGAAAAUAGGGCGUAAUUUCAGCACUGGGUAUGUGACUUCAUGUUCAAGAGGCAAGGACGUGAGCGGCAAUGGGCUUGUUCUGGGAUUGGUUAUUGCCAAGCAGCCACCCCUAGAGGAUUAAUGACUUUUUUGGGUAUUGUGAGUAGUGGGGCAAACCACACUAUCGUUUGGUCCUUUAACACUUGUGGCUAUGCUUUCCCUUGGCGAACAGGAAAAGUUCAAAUGGAGGGGUGCAUCAGACUUGGCGGACCCUAACUUUGUGAGCUGAAUAGUGAAUGCAUUCAGAAUUAAUGCUGCAUUUUUGAAGAUUCAACAAUUUUUGUAAAAUAAAUUAAUGCUGCAUUUGUGAAGAUUCAACAAUUUUUGUAUAUUUAUUAUUUGACAUGAUACAUCCAGUUCAUACUA